rnacentral:rRNA from 1 species
GACGAACGCUGGCGGCGUGCUUAACACAUGUAAGUCGUACGGUAAGGCCCUUUCGGGGGUACACGAGUGGCGAACGGGUGCGUAACACGUGAGUAACCUGCCCACAACUUUGGGAUAACGCUAGGAAACUGGUGCUAAUACUGGAUAUGUGCUCCUGCUGCAUGGUGGGGGUUGGAAAGCUCCGGCGGUUGUGGAUGGACUCGCGGCCUAUCAGCUUGUUGGUGGGGUAGUGGCCUACCAAGGCGGCGACGGGUAGCCGGCCUGAGAGGGUGACCGGCCACAUUGGGACUGAGAUACGGCCCAGACUCCGACGGGAGGCAGCAGGGGGGAAUAUUGCACAAUGGGCGAAAGCCGGAUGCAGCAACGCCGCGGGCGGGAUGACGGCCUUCGGGUUGAAAACCGCUUUCAGCAGGGACGAAGCUUUUUGUGACGGUACCUGCAGAAGAAGCACCGGCUAACUACGUG